rnacentral:lncRNA from 1 species
CACCACCCAAAAUGACAGCAUUGAACAGGUGGGUGUUUCCCUUUGCAGUGAAAAAUAUAUGCGUGUGCAAACAUCAUUUUUUUAUACUCUCUUCCUGCUCAUAAACUUAAAAUGGCUCCCUUUGCUGGCCUACUCAAAUCUAAGUUCUACAAUUCCUCAACUUUGGUAAUGAGAUGUUUCAUGAUCUUUUCCAGUCAUGUUUCCUAUCUGAAAAAAGUCUCUUUAGGGGAUUCAUUAUCUUUCUAUGGAGUUGAAACUUAACACUUUUGGAUUCAACAUUUGCAAUUUUAACUGUAUAAGUACAAUGCCGAUGUUCUACUUCAGGUGAUAUUUUGCAAUUUUGCUCGAACACAGAUUUGAAUUAGCAUCACUGUGGAAGCUGUUGUGCUGUCCCCAGAUUCAUAGCUAGUCAGAUAUCUCAUUUGCCCUCUAGCAUUCACACCAUGAUAUAUCUCUACUGCUCUCCCCCAAAUGACAUAAAUAUUGCCAUCCCUGUGUUACUAAUGAGGCAAUUGAAGAAAUUAAAUGUGAUGCAUUCAUUUAACAACCAUUUACAGAGUCCCUGUCCUGGAAAUUGAGGAUAUAGACAGGAAUAAAACAGCAAUUCUGGAGCUUGCAUUCUCUAAGGGAAAGGAUGACAAUAAUCAAGUAAUCUAAUAAGCAAGAUGUUUGCAGUGAAGAAGUGCCU